GAGUCUACGGGAAGGUUAGGAGCCCUGUUCCUGAGUUGGGGGCUGGGGAGAGCAGGGAGUAUAUGUCCUGGCUGAGGGCCGGAUGUGCAUGAAUACCCAGGGCUCUGAAGGGAGGGGAAUAUGCCAGAAGGAGAGGUUGCUGGGCAGGACUAAAGCAGGAUAUUGGGUGAUUGGUCUUAGACUUGUGAGGGAGGGAAGCAGAUGAAAAAUUGUCCGUGAAAGUGCAAUUAUGCAGAAAGGCAGAAAAAGGCCAGACAGAGUGGAAACCGUGUUGGAAGGCAAAGACUUAUUGCAGGAAUACUGUAUGUUUGGCUCAAAGCUAGGUCCUGGAAACAAUCUGAAAAAAAUCCUCUACAUCCUGAGAUGUCUGCUGUCUAAAUCUUGGGGCUUGCAGAGUGGGUUCACUCUUCCGCUCUUCUGCCAUGUGAGGAUGCAGUAAGAUGACCCUCAGCAGAUGCUGGUGCCUUGAUCUUGGACUUCCCAGUCUCCAGAACUGGGAUGAAAUGCUGUGAUGGGUUGCACGCCCACAUCACCACUCUGCUGUCGGGAGAAGAGGAAGGCACGUUCCUCCCAAACACAGGGACUGAAAGCAGUUCUGAAGGCUGAAGUCCAAGACCAGGGUGGCAGCAUGGUCAGGUCCUGGCGAGGGCCAUUUUCCGAUGAGAAAACUGAAGCUCAGAGACAGAAAACGAGGUCUUCAGACUCCAGGUCCAGAGUGUCAUCCCCCA
rnacentral:lncRNA from 1 species